GUCUCCUAAAAGAUAAUAGGGGGAAAGACGUAAAGCAGUAAGCCCCAUUAACGUCUGGUAUAAACAGCCCCGGGGGAGGGAACUACAGGUUCAAAGCAUUCUGCUGUUGGAAUCAAUAAAUAACCCGGUCUUUUUCUCCCUCUACCUUCUGAUCUUCCUCCUCCACCGACUCAACUCCACACUCCACUGGAGGCCAGAAAGCAAAGACAGAGUAGGUGGAAGGGGCAGGCAGCGAAGCACGGCUGGUCCAGAGCACGUGGAGUCACGGAAACGGGGUUCGGUGCCCGUCUGUCCCAUAGCAGGGUCUCGCAGCAGGAGCUGGUACGUGUGGAGACGACUGUGAAGCCUCAUAGGUUCAGCUUCCAAUGACACUCGGUCCUAGAAUUGGUCCCUGCCGGGCAGUGCAGCAGUCAGAUGCAUGGACCAACCAUCUCACGUGCAGCAAAAGCAGAAAUCCAACCUGUGAUAUCGCCCAGUGGGACUUCUCAGUCUGCAGCCGCAGCCACGGAGACGGUUGCAGCCUCAACAAGACCGUUUUCUCCAUGCCCAGCGCGGACAUGGAUGAGCAUUUUCAUGGGAAACCACAUGUGCAGAGUGACUGAGCCCAGAAUGACAUCACCAGCCCCUCAUCAGCUAUUACCCAGUUCUGUGCCAGCUCCUCGGCCAUUCUUCUAAAGUUUCCUGGACCGUGGGUAGAGCUCCUGAGCUCCUCUGUGCAGAGCCCCCUCACCACCAUCUACAGACGUCAAAGAACCUGGCCCCGUGAACCAGCGCCUACCCUUUACAGAGGGGACCACAAAACCCCAGAGAGGGGUAUUGUUCACAGUCUCAAAGCAUUGGAUGGGCUAACUGCACCUCAAAGACAGGAAGUUGCCUCUGCUGGCAGGAACUUUGAGACCCAGGAGGAGAGAGGCCUGCUUCUAGGGUCUGAGCCAGCCCAAGGGUCCCCGGGCUUUGCCAGCAAGAACCAGGAACUGAGAACACCGGAGGCCCGGGGUGCAAAGAAACCUAUCAGCACAUCCCUACCACUUGCAUUGGGGGCGGCUCUAGUAGGUGAAGGAAGAAAGCCACCGUUUAGGGGCCACGAUGUGCAUCACCAGUCCCUUCCGGGACAUGCGGGCUUGGGCAAACUCCUUAUCCCCAUUUUACAGCUGAGAAAAAGGCUUAGAAGCUAAGCCGUUCCUGCCCAUUUUCUAGCAUCAUACUGAGGAAGGGGCUCUGAAUUACAGCUUUUAUGAAGGACGGGUUUUCUCAGCGACCUGGUAUCCAUCUGGAACUCUGAGGAUGACCAACUACAGAAGGCGGUGACUCCUUCCCCAAGCAGGGAGGUCUUUUAUCUCUAUGUCCUAAGGAGUCCUCGCUCCAGACAUCUAACAAGCGCUUUCUGUGUGAACAUCCAGUUGCCUGCCCUCUGUUUUGGGGAUGCUCACAAAGACCACCCAUGAUCAUUAUUAGCAAGGAAAGAUACAGGGCUGAGGGCCAGGCAGGUGCAGGCU